UAUAUCUUCCCAAUCUUGUAGGUUGAUUUCCAACUUCUUUGGAUUUCUUCUCUUUCAAUUUUACCACACAGCCUCCGGACUAUAUUUUCCCUUUUUGCUUGGUUCAGGUAGAGGUCAAGAACAUAAAGGUUACUGCUGAUUUGUUCAUCUAGCAUCUCUAAUUAACUUUCCUUUUUACUCCAGUUCGGAUCACAACACCACGAGCGCGAGUUCUCAAUAUGGCGGAUGUGCUCCUGCUGCUGCAUACGAUUAUUGGUACGAUCCACCGGGCCCGUGCAACUAACUGCCGCUGGAGCCUAUGAGGUCGUUCUCCUGUGUUCUCGCCUCCUAUUCGAUUUUCUCUCCAGUCAUCAUGUUCGUUCCUAUGCGUUGCUGAUAGGAAAAACAGACUUUUCGUGUUCGUGAUUGCCGGAGCACAUGCAGGAGAGGGCAGAACAGUAGAUAGAGAUGAGAGUACAUAGGGUCUUCAGUCUUCACCUCCCUAUGGAUAAACGUUACAGCACGUUGCUGGCUUUAAUAGAUUCGUCUCCUACAUCCAACAGGUAAAUCAAGCUCCUGUUCUGAAGAUAUGUCUAUGAGAAGUAUUUGCUAAAUUAUCAAGUUCUACAUGACACACUUCUAUUUGGUAUACCUGCAUAUUGUUUACGCUGCAGGAAGGCAAGCAGUGUGGUUGCCGGCGGUGCCUGCUACUACAGCGACAACGCUACAAGUUCUCUCUUAGUUUUAUUUUCCUUCUCUUCUUCCAUUCAUUGUGGUUGAGGUGCUGCAAAUGAGAUGUCUAGAAUGACACAGCAUGCUUUUCAUGUUGUUUACCAUAGUUUUCCAGAAAAGGGGGAAAACACCAGGGCUAAUAUAAGUGGUAUAUUAGCCGUAACACCAAUGACUGUUAAAAUUUUGCA